UACAGAGGUCUCAAGCGUUUGUUCGGAUUCAUUGGGCGUAAAGGGUGUGUAGGUGGCGCGCUAAGUCGGGUGUGAAAUUUCGGAGCUUAACUCCGAAACUGCAUUCGAUACUGGCGUGCUUGAGGACUGGAGAGGAGACUGGAAUUCAUGGUGUAGCAGUGAAAUGCGUAGAGAUCAUGAGGAAGACCAGUGGCGAAGGCGGGUCUCUGGACAGUUCCUGACACUGAGACGCGAAAAGCGUGGGGAGCGAACAGG
rnacentral:rRNA from 1 species